rnacentral:rRNA from 1 species
UGGCGAACGGGUGAGUAACACGUGGGCAACCUGCCCAAAANAGGGGGAUAACACUUGGAAACAGGUGCUAAUACCGCAUAACCAUAGUUACCGCAUGGUAACUAUGUAAAAGGUGGCUAUGCUACCGCUUUUGGAUGGGCCCGCGACGCAUUAGCUAGUUGGUGGGGUAAAGGCUUACCAAGGCAAUGAUGCGUAGCCGAACUGAGAGGUUGAUCGGCCACAUUGGGACUGAGACACGGCCCAAACUCCUACGGAAGGCAGCAG